rnacentral:rRNA from 1 species
GGGGGGGGCCCUAAUAAUGCAGUCGAGCGAAUGGAUUAAGAGCUUGCUCUUAUGAAGUUAGCGGCGGACGGGUGAGAAAAACGUGGGUAACCUACCCAUAAGACUGGGAUAACUCCGGGAAACCGGGGCUAAUACCGGAUAAUAUUUUGAACUGCAUAGUUCGAAAUUGAAAGGCGGCUUCGGCUGUCACUUAUGGAUGGACCCGCGUCGCAUUAGCUAGUUGGUGAGGUAACGGCUCACCAAGGCGACGAUGCGUAGCCGACCUGAGAGGGUGAUCGGCCACACUGGGACUGAGACACGGCCCAGACUCCUACGGGAGGCAGCAGUAGGGAAUCUUCCGCAAUGGACGAAAGUCUGACGGAGCAACGCCGCGUGAGUGAUGAAGGCUUUCGGGUCGUAAAACUCUGUUGUUAGGGAAGAACAAGUGCUAGUUGAAUAAGCUGGCACCUUGACGGUACCUAACCAUAAAGCCACGGCUAACUACGUGCCAGCAGCCGCGGUAAUACGUAGGUGGCAAGCGUUAUCCGGAAUUAUUGGGCGUAAAGCGCGCGCAGGUGGUUUCUUAAGUCUGAUGUGAAAGCCCACGGCUCAACCGUGGAGGGUCAUUGGAAACUGGGAGACUUGAGUGCAGAAGAGGAAAGUGGAAUUCCAUGUGUAGCGGUGAAAUGCGUACAGAUAUGGAGGAACACCAGUGGCGAAUGCGACUUUCUGGGUCUGUUACUGACACUGAGGCGGCGAAAAGCGUGGGGGAGCAAACCAGGAUUAGAUUACCCUUGGUAAGUUCCAACGCCCGUAAACCCGAUGGAGUUGCUAAGUGUUUAGAGGGAUUUCCCGCCCCUUUUAGGUGGCUCGAAGUUAUGAACGCGCUAUUUUAGG